UAAUAAGUGUUUUAUGGCACUUUUUAAAUCCAUAUCCACCUUGUGUGCAAUGUCAGGUUGUCCUCUUCAUUUUCUGGAGAGGAUGACCCAAACAUCAACUUAUCCUUGAACGUGCUCUGUGCCGCAAGGCCACUAAUAUAUA
rnacentral:misc_RNA from 1 species